GAUGAACGCUGGCGGCGUGCUUAACACAUACAAGUCGAACGGAAAGGCUCCUGCUUGCAGGGGUACUCGAGUGGCGAACGGGUGAGUAACACGUGGGUGAUCUGCCCUGCACUUCGGGAUAAGCCUGGGAAACUGGGUCUAAUACCGGAUAGGACGAUGGUUUGGAUGCCAUUGUGGAAAGUUUUUCGGUGUGGGAUGAGCUCGCGGCCUAUCAGCUUGUUGGUGGGGUAAUGGCCUACCAAGGCGUCGACGGGUAGCCGGCCUGAGAGGGUGUACGGCCACAUUGGGACUGAGAUACGGCCCAGACUCCUACGGGAGGCAGCAGUGGGGAAUAUUGCACAAUGGGCGCAAGCCUGAUGCAGCGACGCCGCGUGGGGGAUGACGGCCUUCGGGUUGUAAACUCCUUUCGCUAGGGACGAAGCGCAAGUGACGGUACCUGGAGAAGAAGCACCGGCUAACUACGUG
rnacentral:rRNA from 1 species